AGAGGGCAGGGCUUCAGCACAGGUGCCUUCCUCCCUGUCCAGAGCUGCUGCCGCAGGAGUUAGGGGGUGAGUUGGGCCCCACCUUGGAGCCUGCUUCCUAUUCACAGGCAGCUUCAAGCUUAGCCAGGCAGAAUGACCGUGGUAAUGGCUGAACUCUCAAAAGCAUGUAAGUGUGGAUAUGUGUGUGUGUGUGUGUAAUGGGUGUAUAUGUGUAUAUAUGUAUGCAUAUGAGUUUGGGGGCAUAAGUGCUGUAUGUAUGUGUUUGGAGAGGGUAUGUGUGUGCGUACAGGUGUGUGUGCGGGAAUGGAAUGGAAUGUGUAUAAUGUGUUCAUGUGAUCCCAAGAGUUGACAGUUGUGCUCUGAGCCCCAGGAGAUGCAGAAGUUUGUCAGCCCUCAGAUGUGGGUGCAGAAGACAUUCCUGGUUCCCUGUUCUGGCAAGAGAGUAGGUGACAGCCCUGCAGGGGGACUGGAGAACGGGGAGUCUGGGAGUCCGAGUUACAGUGAGAGGCAGAGGGAGAGACGGGCUGAUUUUGCUGCUAGCAGUAAUCAGUCUCGGACCUGCUGACAGUCUGCGGAGCUGCUAUAAGCAACUCCCCGGCCAUUGUUGCUGAGCAGUGACACACGGAUCGGAUGGGAUCCUUCCUACGCUUUGUGGCUCCACCCUUGGCUGGGGUCUCCUGAAUAAGAAAGCACACGCCCAGUCAGGUCCGCCUCAGUCCUGCUCAUGGGGGGCCUGCCAAUUCCAGAGCUUCCCUGGAUGAGGCUGCCCCUCCGCCAGCCCACCACGCAGAAGACUUCUGAGACCAAAUAUGUGUGGGUUUCCCCCACACUCCAAGCAAGCAAUCAGUCUGCAGCGGACACCAGCUGGCUGUACUCCAGUUCAAUGCCGUCUACCUGGAGCUAGCAUCAGAUCCCACAGGGGCAGGGGCUCAGUACCCCAAGGUUGUCCCCCUCUUCUGAUGCCAAUCAUAAGCCCUUGGUUAUUUUGCCUGUGCUUGUGACUCACCGGCUAUAAAUUGGGGUUCCCACAA